CCCGCUGAACUUAAGCAUAUCAAUAAGCGGAGGAAAAGAAACUAACAAGGAUUCCCCUAGUAACUGCGAGUGAAGCGGGAAAAGCUCAAAUUUGAAAUCUGAGGGUCUUACGGUCCUCCGAGGUGUGAUCUAGAGGAGUGCUAUCCGAGCGGGACCGUGCACUAGGCUCCGGGUACGGAUCGUCGAUAGAGGGCGAGAAUCCAGGCGUUGAACCCCACUACCGAGGCGUUUUGUGAUGCGCUCUGCGAGAGGCGAGCUGAGAGGCAAUGCGGCUCUGAAUGCGUGGCAAAUUCCAUCUAAAGCUCAAUAUUGGGGAGAGACCGAUAGCGAGCACGUACCGUGAGGAAUAGAUGGAGAGAACUAUGGAAAGAGAGUUGAACAGAAAGUGAAACUGUUGAAAGGAAUACGCUUGGGGUCAGGCGCGUUGGCCAGGAAUCAGCCUUGCUAUUGCUUGGGGUACUUUCUGGUUAGCGGGUCAGCAUCAGUCUUGACCGCUGGAUAAGGGCCGAGGGAAUGUGGCAUCUUCGGAUGUGUUAUAGCCUCUGGUCGCAUACAUCGGUUGGGAUUGAGGAACUCAGCACGCCGCAAGGCCGGGUUUUUACCACGUACGUGCUUAGGAUGCUGGCAUAAUGGCUUUAAUCGACCCGUCUUGAAACACGG
rnacentral:rRNA from 1 species